UACAGAGGUUGCGAGCGUUGUUCGGAUUUACUGGGCGUAAAGGGUGCGUAGGUGGCACUGCAUGUCGGAUGUGAAAGCUCACGGCUUACCCGUGGAACGGCAUCCGAAACUGCGGAGCUAGAGUACAGGAGAGGAGAGUGGAAUUCUCGGUGUAGCGGUGAAAUGCGUAGAUAUCGAGAGGAACACCGGUGGCGAAAGCGGCUCUCUGGACUGUUACUGACACUGAGGCACGAAAGCCAGGGUAGCAAAAAGG
rnacentral:rRNA from 1 species